rnacentral:rRNA from 2 species
UGGGGGAUAUUGCACAAUGGGCGAAAGCCUGAUGCAGCGACGCCGCGUGGGGGAUGAAGGCUUUCGGGUUGUAAACCUCUUUCGCUAUCGAACAAGGCCCGCUUAGGGUGGGUUGAGGGUAGGUGGAGAUGAAGCGCCGGCUAACUACGUGCCAGCAGCCGCGGUAAUACGUAGGGCGCGAGCGUUGUCCGGAAUUAUUGGGCGUAAAGGGCUUGUAGGCGGCUUGUUGCGCCUGCUGUGAAAACGCGGGGCUUAACUUCGCGCGUGCAGUGGGUACGGGCAGGCUUGAGUGUGGUAGGGGUGACUGGAAUUCCAGGUGUAGCGGUGGAAUGCGCAGAUAUCUGGAGGAACACCGAUGGCGAAGGCAGGUCACUGGGCCAUUACUGACGCUGAGGAGCGAAAGCAUGGGUAGCGAACAGG